AAAAACAAAUAAUAAAAACUUUCAACAACGGAUCUCUUGGUUCCAGCAUCGAUGAAGAACGCAGCGAAAUGCGAUAAGUAAUGUGAAUUGCAGAAUUCAGUGAAUCAUCGAAUCUUUGAACGCACAUU
rnacentral:rRNA from 1 species